UACCAGCACCCCGAGUGGUCGGGACGAUUAUUGGGGCCUAAAGCAUCCGUAGCCGGUCAUGCAAGUCCUCCGUUAAAUCCAACUGCUUAACAGAUGGGCCGCGGAGGAUACUAUAAGACUAGGAGGCAGGAGAGGCAAGCGGUACUCAGUGGGUAGGGGCAAAUCCGUUGAUCCAUUGAAGACCACCAGUGGCGAAGGCGGCUUGCCAGAAUGCGCUCGACGGUGAGGGAUGAAAGCUGGGGGAGCAAACCGG
rnacentral:rRNA from 1 species